AGUUACUUUGUCAGUCAUAUACAUCUCCGUUCUCGCAAAGAAAUGAUCAACUUCGAGACUGAAUAUUUUAAACUGAAUAAAAUUCUUUUGCUCGCUAUUGGUUUGUGGCCUAGAAAACAAUCGAAUCUUACUCGACUUCAAUUUAUUUUCCUGUCUAGUAUUUUGACGACAAACCUUAUAUUUCAGUGUAUGAUAUUUAUUUCACAAAGAUGUACUCCGGAUUUCAUUAUCAAAAUUCUAGCUUCCGUAUUUGUCUUUGCUCUCUUUGUAAUAAAAUACAACAUGUUCUCUGUUAAAUCUAUGAAGGAUCUAUUGGAGCAACUACUGCAUAUAUAUAAUGAAUUAAAA